AGCCUAAUUUGUCUUCGGUCUUCCGUGCUCACCUUCGAGAGAUCAAGUUGCUGCUGCGGUAGUCCCCCAACCGUCAUCAUGCAGAACGAGGAGGGUAAGACAGUGGACCUCUACGUCCCCAGGAAGUGCUCGGCCACGAACAGGAUCAUCACUGCCAAGGAUCAU